AUUGAACGCUGGCGGCAUGCCUUACACAUGCAAGUCGAACGGUAACGCGGGGGCAACCCUGGCGACGAGUGGCGAACGGGUGAGUAAUACAUCGGAACGUACCCAGUAGUGGGGGAUAGCUCGGCGAAAGCCGGAUUAAUACCGCAUACGACCUAUGGGUGAAAGCGGGGGAUCGCAAGACCUCGCGCUAUUGGAGCGGCCGAUGUCGGAUUAGCUAGUUGGUGAGGUAAAGGCNCACCAAGGCUACGAUCCGUAGCUGGUCUGAGAGGACGACCAGCCACACUGGGACUGAGACACGGCCCAGACUCCUACGGGAGGCAGCAGGUGGGGAAUUUUGGACAAUGGGCGCAAGCCUGAUCCAGCCAUGCCGCGUGUGUGAAG
rnacentral:rRNA from 1 species